rnacentral:rRNA from 1 species
UACGGAGGGAGCUAGCGUUAUUCGGAAUUACUGGGCGUAAAGCGCACGUAGGCGGCUUUGUAAGUUAGAGGUGAAAGCCUGGAGCUCAACUCCAGAAUUGCCUUUAAGACUGCAUCGCUUGAAUCCAGGAGAGGUGAGUGGAAUUCCGAGUGUAGAGGUGAAAUUCGUAGAUAUUCGGAAGAACACCAGUGGCGAAAGCGAACUUCCUGGACCAAUACUGACGCUCAUGUGCGAAAGCGUGGGGGAGCAAACAGG